GUAGGUGGCAAGCGUUGUCCGGAAUUAUUGGGCGUAAAGCGCGCGCAGGGCGGUCCUUUAAGUCUGAUGUGAAAGCCCACGGCUCAACCGUGGAGGGUCAUUGGAAACUGGGGGACUUGAGUACAGAAGAGGAAAGCGGAAUUCCAAGUGUAGCGGUGAAAUGCGUAGAGAUUUGGAGGAACACCAGUGGCGAAGGCGGCUUUCUGUCUGUAACUGACGCUGAGGCGCGAAAGCGUGGGGAGCAAACAGGAUUAGAUACCCUGGUAGUCCACGCCGUAAACGAUGAGUGCUAAGUGUUAGGGGGUUUCCGCCCCUUAGUGCUGCAGCUAACGCAUUAAGCACUCCGCCUGGGGAGUACGGCCGCAAGGCUG
rnacentral:rRNA from 1 species